rnacentral:misc_RNA from 1 species
AAAAGUCGUAACAAGGUUUCCGUAGGUGAACCUGCGGAAGGAUCAUUAACACGUAUCCAAACAUUGUGCAAGGAUAGCGCUUCUACGAUUCCUGUAGACCGUACGCUCGGGCAGGAGCUUUGCCAAAGGGUCCCCAUGCCCCCUAAAAACCCCACAGUUUAAUGUGAAGCUCAAUGUAAUACAUUGGGUAAAAAAACCGAACAACUGUUAACAAUGGAUAUCUUGGUUCUC